UCACCGGUGGUCUAAGGGCCAGGACGCCGCUUUCUCAAGGCGGAAGUGCGGGUUCGAAUCCCGUCCGGUGGACCA
rnacentral:tRNA from 1 species